CUUCGUAGAGACGAGGUCCUUUGUGCUUUUAGUGUAGUUCAGCCUCCGUUUCUCGUUGGGGUAGCCCACCGUUGUUCCUUCACAUUUCCCUCUUUUUUCUUCUUUUUUGCUGGGUCUCGAAUGGCCGGACCCUAAUUAGUGUCGAGACGAGGUUCUUCCCCUAUCUCUGAUGUGAUCGAUUUCAGUUCGGGUUAGGAUGAGGUCCUCCUUCUAUUCCUAACGGGGCUAUGGGGGCGCAUAUGGGUGCUAUAUGGCCUCUCC
rnacentral:lncRNA from 1 species